AAACAACACAAGAAUGAUCCAGAAGAAGUAAAACUACUCUGCACAUACUCCACUACUGAGCCCUGCCUUACAGGCCUUGUUCCCAAGCUAAUGCCAGCUGAGCUGUGGAUACACCAAUAUGUGGAAUGCCUUCAUCAUCAAUGACGUGUAGUGUUAAAUAUUAAACAAAUGAGAAAAUGUCCAAUAGUAAAAAACGGAAGUACGACGAGCAGCUGAAUAUACC